rnacentral:rRNA from 1 species
UACGGAGGGGGCUAGCGUUGUUCGGAAUUACUGGGCGUAAAGCGCACGUAGGCGGCUUUGUAAGUUAGAGGUGAAAGCCCGGAGCUCAACUCCGGAAUUGCCUUUAAGACUGCAUCGCUCGAAUCAUGGAGAGGUGAGUGGAAUUCCGAGUGUAGAGGUGAAAUUCGUAGAUAUUCGGAAGAACACCAGUGGCGAAGGCGACUCGCUGGGACGGUAUUGACGCUAAGGCGCGAAAGCGUGGGGAGCAAACAGG